UCGGAAAAACACAGGGGCAAGCAUCUGCUCAGCACUGCAGACUUGAGCACAACAGUCUGAAUAUUGUCAGAACUGAUUUGCACUGCCCAAGCAGCCUGUCACCAGUGGAAUGGGCUCAGAAAGCAAGUAAACUUUGGAGCUAGACAGAAAUUCUUGCCAGUUGCACAUGGAUAUUCUUCUCUCAGCAAGAUGCAGUUUACUGCCUACCUUUAAGGCCAAGCUAUGAUAUUUUUAUUUUGUUUGCUGCCUACCUGUUUUAAGGCCAGGCUAUGAUAUUCUCCAUCAUCUAAACUCUGAAGUGUUUUUCAGUCUUUCAUCUCUAAAGCACCCAGGAACUGGAAAAUGGAAAAUAGGUAAAAUCUGGAAUUGGUACUAAGAUAGCACGUGCAAUUGCUCCGUACAAGGAGAAUCAAGACUUCUGGUUUUGCAUGUAAAGCUUGUGUUCUUCAUGGUUAAUAAGAGAAAUUCCAUGCUGAUAGUGUUCACAAAAUCUGCAAGAGCACAGACAGUGUGUAACAGCCCAAAGGAAAAUGCUUAGUGUGACACUGUAAUUUUCUCCACCUGUUGCCCGAACUGUCAAAAGGAAACACGUCUCUUAUUUCACUCUGAAUAAGAAGUGGUAUGUUUGUGGUUUGGGAAAUGAUAGCUUGAUUCUCUGUCAGUUGAAGCAGCUGGCUGGCCCUCACCCAGAGCUGUGGCUGAGACAUCCAUGUACCUGCCUUGGCUCUCAGGCUCAGGCAGAGAAGGCUUUGCUCUCUACAGUUGGAUAUUUAGCAGUCUAACAGGGCAGGACAUUCGUUUGAACCCAUUGUAACUUUGCAAUGACAAAUGUGAAGGAAGGAUGCAGCUGAUGAGAAUUCAGAGAUAAAGAAUAGAGGAAUGAACAGGUUGAUAUUUUUAAAGAAACACAUGUUUAUUCAGAAAUUCCUCACAAGUGCUGUUCCAAACUAUUAUUGAAGAAUUCAAAAAAGUCUAUGCAAAUUACUUUGUUUUUGUGCAAAAAUCUGAGCAGACUCAUCUCACAUUUCUUCGCACUGCUGGGAGCCCUCUAUCAACCUCAUAAAAUUCUUUCACAUCCUCCUAUUUGUCUUCCCUACCCAACUCUUUCAUCUCUUCAUUCUCCUUUACCUACUUUCUAUCCCAGAUCUGCUCCUGUGAAAAUAAUCCCAACUCUGCAGACAUUGGUGACAUUGGGUUAAGAUGCUGGAGCAGUUUGUCUCAGGAAAAAACAACCUGCUGAUGGUGGUGGGAAGCAUGUCCAGGCCAAAAUCCUGCCUGGCAGAGGCUGCUGGUGGUGGAGAAAGUGGAUUCCCAUUUUCCAAGGCUAAAAUGAAGCCCUCUUGGGGAUCAGUCAUGCUACCUGGUGGAAUUUGACAAAGUUGCUUGUUUUGUACAUUUGGAAAGCCAAAAUUGUAUGGCCUCGUGAAAACAAAAGUGGAAGGUGAAUGAUUGGGCAAGGAACGCUAGAUUCUGAUUUAGUUUAAAUCUUCUACAUACAGGUUUCCAAUUUUCCCAGUUUUCCCAAGCUGUUAAAAUUUUAGAGAAAAAAAAUUAAGAUAGAAAAAGAAGGAAGUGUCUGAAGCCUUUGCUUAGGACCUAACCAUUC